rnacentral:rRNA from 1 species
GACGAACGCUGGCGGCGUGCUUAACACAUGCAAGUCGAACGAUGAACUUGGAGCUUGCUCUGGGGGAUUAGUGGCGAACGGGUGAGUAACACGUGAGUAACCUGCCCUGGACUCUGGGAUAACUUCGAGAAAUCGGAGCUAAUACCGGAUAGGACCUUGCACCGCAUGGUGUGGGGUGGAAAGUUUUUCGGUUUGGGAUGGACUCGCGGCCUAUCAGCUUGUUGGUGAGGUAAUGGCUCACCAAGGCGUCGACGGGUAGCCGGCCUGAGAGGGCGACAGGCCACACUGGGACUGAGACACGGCCCAGACUCCUACGGGAGACAGCAGUGGGGAAUAUUGCACAAUGGGCGCAAGCCUGAUGCAGCAACGCCGCGUGCGGGAUGACGGCCUUCGGGUUGUAAACCGCUUUUAGUAGGGAAGAAGCCUUCGGGUGACGGUACCUGCAGAAAAAGGACCGGCUAACUACGUGCCAGCAGCCGCCGCCGUAA